UGUUGAUGGGGUGGACAAUCCCUAAAAAGAGCCUUGAACCGCUCCCAAGCAUCAUAAAUAUUCUCAUCUGGCUUCUGUUUGAAGAAUAAUAUCUCACUCCAACG